rnacentral:rRNA from 1 species
AUGGCCACCACCAGCAAGCAGGCUCUAGCUCUCGCUGCUCUCCUGAUCCUGCUCACUGGCACCCACCUCAUUGCAGCCGCAAGAGCCCCGGUCGCAGUAACCGGCAUUGGCGUUGGAGGAGGUGGUGGCGGUGGAGGAGAAGGUGGUGGAAGCGCCGGUCACGGUUAUGGCUACGGUUCAGGCUAUGGAGCUGGUCAUGGCUAUAGCGGCAACAUUGGUGGCAGUGGCGGCGGUGGCCGUCGGGGUGGCGGUGGUGGAGGUAAGGGGCGCGCCGCGCAGAAUCAGGCCGGCCGCGUGAACCCCCCGCCUCCAGCUCCUGUGUCCGACUUGUUGGAAAUAUGCCCUAGAGGCAAUAAUAAAGUGGUUAUUAUCAUAUUUCCUUGUUCAUGA